ensembl:lncRNA
GGACGACAGACACAUGCAUGGGUAGACACAUGCUACGAAAAAUUGCACUUACUAUACUGAAAGCCCAGCUUCGCUGAACUGCCACUUGAAUGGCAGAGGCUUCUCAGAUGAGUCAGACCUUUAUGAGCCUUCCACGUUUGCAGUUUGGAACAGAAAAUAUGCUUCUCUUUCAGCUAAAUUUUUCCACUUGUUACUCUGAUGCAGAAAAAUUUUAGAUCUCCGUCACCAAUUGGUUUAAAGGGGGCACAAAGGACUGUCCCUACCUCAUUUGCCUAUCAGUUAAUUAGCAUGCAGAAUUUUUGUGUUGUAGAUAAAGGUUUUUCUUCUGUUUCUUUCCUUUGAUUGAGCUCUUGAAAGCUAUUGCUGAAGAUAGAUAUCCUGAAAGAAAUGAGACAGUACAGCCACUGACACCCUCAGUCAUAGAGCAGCUUUUUGCAUGUGAUUGGGGAAUAGAGAGUCUUGCUUGGAUUUCCAGCCACAUGGAUGUUAAAGAAGAAGAAAAAAAAUGGAAGUAACCUUCCACCUAUUUCAUAGCAUGCUCUGAAAAGCAAGCACCAUCCCAAUGGAGACUAGAGGUUUACCAGUAAAAGGUAAUCAGGGCAAGUCCCAAGAUCUUUAAAGAUCCUGAGCACUUUUAAGAAAGAAUCAAGUAUGUGAUUCAACGUCUCUGGCAGAACACCAGACAUGUAAAUGCCCUCUGCCCCCCGCUUACCCAGAGCCAUCGGCAGGAUAAAAGACUGAGCUAUCUCGAAGUGCCGCAAUACAAGAUGUAACAGCUUCCUACCAACUUGGAAAUGAUGCAUUUUGGCUGGAUGAUGUCCUGAAGGAACUGACUGAUAUAGCUUCCAAGCUGCUCUCCAUCAUAUCUGAAAAGCCAUGGUUGUCAGGUGAAGUUCCUGGUGGCUGGAAAAAAGGAAACAUCGCUCCAAUUUUUAAGAAAGAGAUUAAGGAAGACCUGGGGAACUAUAUGCCAAUGAGAGUCAUACCUGUGUCUGGGAAGAUCAUGGAGCAGAUCCUCCUGGAAACUGUUAAGGCACAUUGCAAGAUGAGGAGGGGAUCUAAGACAGCCAGCAUGACUUCACAAAGGGAAGAUCAUGCCUAACCAAUUUGGUGUCUUUCUACUAUGGAGUGAUGGCAUCAGCGAACAAAGGAAGGGCAACUGAUGCCAGCUACCUGGACUUGUGCAAGGCUUUUGACAUGCUACUACAUCCUUGUCUCUAAACUGGAGAGAUAUGGAUUUAAAGUGUCGAUUGUUUAGUAAAUAAAGAAUUGGUUGGAUAGUUGCAGCCAGCGGGUUAUUAUCAAUGGAUCUAUGUCCACAUGGAGGCCGGUCACAAGUAGCAUCUCCCAGGGGUCCAUCUUGGGACCAGUGCUCUUCAACAUCGUGUUCAGUAACACUGACGGUGAGAUCAAGUGCACCCUCAGCAAGUUUGCUGAUGACACCAAGCUGAACAGUGCAGUUGAG